rfam:Salmo salar isolate Sally breed double haploid chromosome ssa27, whole genome shotgun sequence.
UAUGCACUCUACUGUAAGUCGCUCUGGAUAAGAGUGUCUGUUAAAUGACUAAAA